AUGUAAUGGCGUAAAUUCAAUGUUAUCGGAACAGUGGUUUCGUAACCACAAAUCCGAUUUAAAGAGAAAUUUAUUUCAAUAUUUUUGCUUGAAAAUUUAUAUGAUAGGAAAAUCGUAUGAAAAUAUUGAUAGGAAAAUUUUAUCAAUUUAGUGAUUAGUUAGAAAAAGAAAUUAUUGAAGAAAUUGGGUAAAAUAAGGUAUUGAGACCUCUAUCUCGUAAAACCGAGUCAAAAAUAAUUUUAUAAAUAUUUAUGAAAUGUUAUUAAUGUGGUAUUAAAAUUUCGUUAGGAAAUUUUAAUGUUUGGGUAGUCAAUUAAAUGAAAAGGACUGAAUUGUAAUAGGUGUAAAAGUUGCUAGAGUGAUUAAAUAGCUUAUUAGUCUAAUGAGAAAGGAUAUAAAAGGCAAUUAGACCCAAAAUUUAUUUGGGCUGGACGGCAAGGGUAUGAAAUCAGCAGAAAAAUUGAUAAAUUAAGGGUAAAAUUGGAAUAUUACAAAAUUAACUAAAUAAAACUAGGACUAAAUAGGAAAUAUCUAGAUUUCUCUUCAUUUCUCUUCAAUUCCAGCAGCUAAAAACGCCAUAGGAGGGUUCUCUAAGCUGGUAUUUCAUAAUUUUUGCACCAAGUGAGUUAAUCCUUGC
rnacentral:lncRNA from 1 species